UACGUAGGGAGCAAGCGUUGUCCGGAAUCAUUGGGCGUAAAGCGCGCGUAGGUGGCCCGAUAAGUCCGCUCUGAAAGUCACAGGCUCAACCUGUGAAAGCGGGUGGAUACUGUCGGGCUAGAGUCCGGAAGAGGCGAGUGGAAUUCCUGGUGUAGCGGUGGAAUGCGCAGAUAUCAGGAGGAACACCAACGGCGAAGGCAGCUCGCUGGGACGGUACUGACACUGAGGCGCGAAAGCGUGGGGGAGCGAACAGG
rnacentral:rRNA from 1 species